CCUACGGGAGGCAGCAGUGAGGAAUAUUGGUCAAUGGGCGAGAGCCUGAACCAGCCAAGUCGCGUGAAGGAUGACGGCCCUACGGGUUGUAAACUUCUUUUGUCAGGGAGCAAUUGGGUCCACGCGUGGGCUUAGCGAGAGUACCUGAAGAACAAGCAUCGGCUAACUCCGUGCCAGCAGCCGCGGUAAGACGGAGGAUGCGAGCUUUAUCCGGAUUUAUUGGGUUUAAAGGGUGCGGAGGCGGACUAUCAAGUCAGCGGUAAAAAUUCGGGGCUCCACCCGGUCGUGCCGUUUAAACGGAUGUUAGUGAGUGGGCUAGAAGUAUGCGGAAUGCGUGGUGUAGCGGUGAAAUGCAUAGAUAUCACGCAGAACUCCGAGUGCGAAGGCAGCAUACCGGCGCCCAACUGACGCUGAAGCACGAAAGCGUGGGUAUCGAACAGGAUUAGAUACCCGGGUAGUC
rnacentral:rRNA from 1 species